rnacentral:misc_RNA from 1 species
UUUCCGUAGGUGAACCUGCGUAAGGAUCAUUAAAAAAUUGGACUCCAUUGGUGAGUUCAUUAAUAAUCCUACCCUUUAUGAAUUUGUUUGUUUGAAUAAUUUUUUUUCCAAAAAAAAUUAUUGAAUGUCUUUCCCUGUUUUGGUGGAGCUUGUAAAGUGAAACCAGGCAGGGGAAUGGCAAACAAUAAUUAUUUUUGAAAAAGACCUUUUUUAAAAUUAAACUUUUUGUAUUCAUUUGUCUAAAAUUAUUUUUAUAAUAUAAAACAACUUUUGACAAUGGAUCUCUUGGUUCUCGCAACGAUGAAGAACGCAGCAAAAUGCGAUAAGUAGUGUGAAUUGCAGAAUACGUGAAUCAUCGAAUCUUCGAACGCAUAUUGCACUUUUUUAGUUUACUAAAAAAGUAUGUCUGUUUGAGUAUCAGUAAAAUAUUCUCAUAAAAAAUUUAUUUUUAUGGUUAUGAGUGUUUUACAACGAUAACAGUUGUUUCACUUUAAAUUCUUUGUUAUCAAAAAAUCAUUAAAAGCUAAUUUUAAAGAUUUUUUAAAAUUGGAUAAAAUUUUCCCGUAAAAAGGAAUAACCUAAACAAUUUUAAAAAAUUAAAAUUGGUUUGAUUUUUCUUGAUUUAAAAAGGAAAAAAAAGUAAAAAUUAACUUGAUCUCAAAUCAGAUAAGAGUACCCGCUGAACUUAAGCAUAUCAAUAAGCGGAGGAAAAGAAACUAACUAGGAUUCCCUCAGUAACGGCGAGUGAAGCGGGAAGAGCUCAAAUUUGAAAUCUUCAAGGUUUUACCUUGACGAAUUGUAGUUUAAAGAAGUGUUUUCUGUUGGAGUUUUGGUAAAAGUUCUUUGGAAAAGGACAUCAUAGAGGGUGAGAAUCCCGUAUUUGACCAUUAUCUCCAGCUUUGUGAUACACUUUCAAAGAGUCGGAUUGUUUGGGAAUGCAGUCCAAAAUGGGUGGUAAAUUUCAUCUAAAGCUAAAUACUGGCGAGAGACCGAUAGCGAACAAGUACCGUGAGGGAAAGAUGAAAAGAACUUUGAAAAGAGAGUUAAACAGUACGUGAAAUUGUCAAAAGGGAAGCGUUUGACACCAGUGUUGUUUUCUCGAAAAUCAAUUAAAAAAGGCCGGAUUUUGUGUUGUAUUGACUUUAUCAGCUUUCUGCACUUUUUUCUUGUCUUUUUUAAUGCACUUUUCGUUUAACAAGUCAACAUCAAUUUCUUUUGUUGUAAAAGGGUCAUUGGAAGGUGGCUUUCUUUUCGGAGAAAGUGUUUAUAGCCUUUGGCCUCUGCAAUCGGAGAGAUUGAGGUCUGCAGCGUAGAUCCUUCGGGGUUAGAUACAUUUGUGCUAAGUUAUAGCCUUUCAUAGACAACUUGUUGACUAUGAUCAGUCAUGUAGCUUACUCGCUUAUGCUAUUU